rnacentral:rRNA from 1 species
AUUGAACGCUGGCGGCAGGCCUAACACAUGCAAGUCGAACGGUAACAGGAAGCAGCUUGCUGCUUUGCUGACGAGUGGCGGACGGGUGAGUAAUGUCUGGGAAACUGCCCGAUGGAGGGGGAUAACUACUGGAAACGGUAGCUAAUACCGCAUAACGUCGCAAGACCAAAGAGGGGGACCUUAGGGCCUCUUGCCAUCGGAUGUGCCCAGAUGGGAUUAGCUAGUAGGUGGGGUAACGGCUCACCUAGGCGACGAUCUCUAGCUGGUCUGAGAGGAUGACCAGCCACACUGGAACUGAGACACGGUCCAGACUCCUACGGGAGGCAGCAGUGGGGAAUAUUGCACAACGGGCGCAAGCCUGAUGCAGCCAUGCCGCGUGUAUGAAGAAGGCCUUCGGGUUGUAAAGUACUUUCAGCGGGGAGGAAGGGAGUAAAGUUAAUACCUUUGCUCAUUGACGUUACCCGCAGAAGAAGCACCGGCUAACUCCGU